UACGGGGGGAGCAAGCGUUGUUCGGAUUUACUGGGCGUAAAGGGCGCGUAGGCGGCCAGCACAAGUCAGUUGUGAAAUCUCCGGAGCCUUAACUCGGAACGGUCAACUGAUACUGUGCGGCUAGAGUGCAGAAGGGGCAACUGGAAUUCUUGGUGUAGCGGUGAAAUGCGUAGAUAUCUGGAGGAACACCGGUGGCGAAGGCGGCAUCCUGGACCGGUAUUGACGGCUGAGGCGGCGAAAGCCAGGGGAGCAAAGCGGG
rnacentral:rRNA from 1 species